rnacentral:lncRNA from 1 species
GAAACCUCCCCAAGCCCUCCACACAGAAGUGAUUGUGAGUGCCGCUCCAGACCUCGCCCUAUGGGAUCUAUAGGACCUGUAGACCUAUAGCUGCCUGUAUGAUCCUGUGGGUACAAUCUCCUAAUGUAGGUGAGUGUGUGGUCUUUAUAACACAGAAGUACAUGCGAGCCUCAGGGGCUGCUUUUUAUUGACAGUUCAUGAUAAUAAUAGCACACAGUGCAUGUGGGGCAUGGGGUGAGGGCUGGGUAUUUACUGACUGUCCUGUGAGGUGGUGUGAUUUCUGUCCCCACUUGGCCAAUGAGGGCCUGCGGCACAGAGGGGUUACCAGCUCUCCUAAGGCCAACAGAGUUGAUGGAGGGCUGGCUCCUGAACCACACCAGCCUGAUGCAGGGGACUCAGCAUUUUCACGACCCCAUAUUAUCAUAUCAAUGUGCCAUAAUUUAUUUAGAUCUUUCCCUUUGUUGUUUCAAUUUUUCCCUCUUAAUGAACAGCUCAUAGCCAAAUUUUUGUGUACCUCAUUAUUUCCUUACACCCUCCCCAACUCCUCACUCUACGGUGACUCCACUGGGCAAAAACUUGCACACUUUAAGAAUUUGGAAAAUGUGUUGACAAAUUACAUCCUAGAGAGGGGGGCUCCAAUCCCAGCCGAAGCAGAUGGAGAGGCCCGCCCACGUCUUUGCUAACCAUGGGAAUAUUUUUCCUAAAGGAAAAGCUUUGCCAGUUUGGUAGCUGCUGUGAUUUGAAUGAUGACGGCCCUUCUGAAAUUCAGGUUGAAACUUAAUCUCCAAAGCAACAAUAUUAAAAGGUGUGGCUUUGGGAGGCCCCACCCUCAUGACUGGGAUCAGUGCCCUCACAGAAGGACUGGAGGUUGAAGGGAGCGUGUAACUGAGCACCUAGCAAGAAGGCCCUCACCAGACACCAGUGCCGCCACCUUGGACUUCCCCAUCUCCAGAACACUAGGAAAUAGCUUCUGGUUCUUUAUAAAUUACCCAGGCUCAGAUAUUUUGUUAUAGCAGCAGGAACAGACUAAGACAGUAGAUAAGAACUGUCCUUUCCGCUCUAACAUUCCGGCCAUCUUUGAGAACAGGCUCUGCGUGUCCUGCCCAAGGACAGGCAUGAUUUCAAUCCUUUCCCAAAGAAACUGCCAGCAAUGUGACCCGUAAGGCAGUAAGUUUAUGCAAUUAAAAUUUUGACCUGAUUUCUUCAUUAACAGUCUGAGUUUGGCUGGGCUGUAAAGCUGAGCAAAGGUUUAAGACAGAGCUCGGGCUUCUGGUCUUUCUCUUACAGGUGUACAUUUAAUACCAGGGCUCUGCCAGGGCUUCUAGAAAGAGCCUAGGGUGAGGAGGAAGCUCAGGGAGCUUGUGCUCCCAGAAGAGCUGCAUCACAGAAGUGGAGAUGGGGGCCGCACAUUGGCCAUGAGUACCCACGGAUUGCAGUAGCCCCACUGAGGCCCCUUAAGGUGAUAAAGACGAAUUACAACCAAAGACUCUGGGGACUGGUCCCGGUGGUGGACCUUCGGUGUCCUCGGGGAGCACGGUGGGGGCAGGUCCUGGGGGCCAGUGUGGGCUCUCUGUGCUCACACUUGGGAAGGAGCAGAGCAGGCCCUGAGACACUGCCACAGCCUCCCUCCUCCUUCCAAAAAGAGGAAGAGACUGUGAUGUUCCAGCUCUGCCCGUGUGACUCAACCAGGGCUGCGGCCGACUGCGUGACCACCAGGAAGAGGCUGUUUACAUCUUCGGGAAUCCCACAUCUGGCCAGGCUCAGCUCAGGGUGGAGGGUCCCCUGAGCACUGGGGAUGACUGGAAGCCUGCAGUCCCAAGCUAGGUGGCCUGGCCCGGAGCUCCUGAGAUUUGGGCAUCAGAGUGGCCGAGUUGCUCAAACAGGUUCCUGUACAUCUGUGAGUCUCCGUUUUCUUCUCUGUGAAAUGGGGACAAUAAAACCACCUACUUUAUUGAGUCAUCGCAAGCUGGAAGAGGGUGAUGUGUGUAAAGAGAUUAACCCAGUAUCUAGUACCUCUAAAGUGCUUAACAAAUGACACCUAUCACAGUGAUUUUAACUGGCUUAUUUCUCCAUAAAAUGAACGCGGAAUCCGUCCAUGGCCUCGUUCUCAGAAUGCAAUUUCAUCCCCACCAAACUGAAAACUCUUCAACAGCAGCAGCGCCUCCCUCCACACCAUGUUCCUCCUCCUUGAUUUCUAGACCCAGAUGCAGGUUGAGGUGGGCAAUGGGGUCGCGCUUAUCCUCACUCCUCGUCAUCACCAGAGAGGUGGUGACCUUCCGGGGACCCCCAUAGACAGGCUUGGUCUGGCUCUGCUUCCCAGGAAUUCCCUCAGUGGUUUUGUGUUUCUUUCUUUCUUUCUUUCUUUUGACUCAUUCUUUCCCGUCAGUGGGGCUCGGUGUUUGCUGGAUGAGAGCGUGUUCUGUCGGCAGGUGGCAUCCAGUUCUACGGGGUCCUCUGUGGAUGCUAGGGUGCCCGGGAACCAGCAGUUCCACGUUGCAUUUUCCUGGAUGUCCGAGCAGAGCACCCGGGUCAGGCGAGUUCCCAGAAGCUCCUUGCCUUCUCUUCCCUGCAUCAGGAAGGCUGGGGAGGGCGGCUCUGGAUCCUGAGGGGAAGCCACUCGGAUCUCCUGCAGCUGCUCAAGACCACGGCACUGUGACUGUGCUUGCCCAUCUGGAAAGCCUCAGGCGUGCAGGAGCUUGGCUGGGCUCCACAUUUGGACACAGAACCUGCUCCAUCUGAGCUCGUGGCUCUUGGUCAGCCCAGGCUCAGGGAGCCUCUCGACGGGGUGGAAUUUUGGGUUUCACCCACUUGGCUGAUGCUUCCUGCCCUGUGUAAUUGAAUCAAUCCUUUACGUAAAUGCUGUUUCGUAACUGCCCGGGCUUUUCAGGGCCUCUGGGCCCUGGCUGAAAACCUAACUCAGCUCCUGCCUGGGAGGCUUUGCGCGGCAGGCCUGGCUGGUGGGAGGGUUUGGUGCCAGAGGCAUCCGUCGGGUGAGGAGCAGGACCUCCCACGGUGAACAUGGUGGCCACGUCCCCGCAGAGCCCAGCCUACUGAGCUGUCCAGUGAACCCUUGUGCACUUAAGCUAAAACACGCAGCCGUG